AUUGAACGCUGGCGGCAUGCUUUACACAUGCGAGUCGAACGGCAGCGCGGGCUUCGGCCUGGCGGCGAGUGGCGAACGGGUGAGUAAUGCAUCGGAACGUGCCCAGUAGUGGGGGAUAGCCCGGCGAAAGCCGGAUUAAUACCGCAUACGACCUGAGGGUGAAAGCGGGGGACCGAAAGGCCUCGCGCUAUUGGAGCGGCCGAUGUCGGAUUAGCUAGUUGGUGGGGUAAAGGCUUACCAAGGCGACGAUCCGUAGCUGGUCUGAGAGGACGACCAGCCACACUGGGACUGAGGCACGGCCCAGACUCCUACGGGAGGCAGCAGUGGGGAAUUUUGGACAAUGGGGGCAACCCUGAUCCAGCCAUGCCGCGUGCGGGAAGAAGGCCUUCGGGUUGUAAACCGCUUUUGUUCGGGAAGAAAUCCUCUGGGCUAAUACCCCGGGGGGAUGACGGUACCGGAAGAAUAAGCACCGGCUAACUACGUG
rnacentral:rRNA from 1 species